GUGCUCGCUUCGGCAGCACAUAUACUAAAAUUGGAAUGAUACAGAAAAGAUUAGCAUGGCCCCUGCGCAAGGAUGACACGCACGCAAAUUCGUGAAGUGUUCCAUAUUUUU
rnacentral:snRNA from 1 species